UACGUAGGGGGCGAGCGUUGUCCGGAAUUAUUGGGCGUAAAGAGCGUGUAGGCGGUUCGGUAAGUCUGCCGUGAAAACCUGGGGCUCAACCCCGGGCGUGCGGUGGAUACUGCCGGGCUAGAGGGUGGUAGAGGCGAGUGGAAUUCCCGGUGUAGCGGUGAAAUGCGCAGAUAUCGGGAGGAACACCAGCGGCGAAGGCGGCACUCUGGGCUGGUACUGACGCUGAGGAGCGAAAGCGUGGGUAGCAAACAGG
rnacentral:rRNA from 1 species